rnacentral:tRNA from 1 species
GGGCGCGUAGCUCAGCUGGUAGAGCGCCUCGCUUACACCGAGGAAGUCGGCGGUUCGAGUCCGUCCGCGCCCGCCA